AUAUUGUCAUUCUAAACAAAAUAAUUUAUAUUAUAAUUUCAUCCUUAGUGUAAAAAAAAAUUACAUAGUGACCAAUGACUUCUCUAGGUGGAUUGAGACAAGAACUCUAAAGAAGUGCACAGACAGGGGGAUUUGGUAUUAUCUUGAGCUGUGGGCUCAGGUAAGUCAAGGUGGCAACAACCAUGUAACCAUGUAGACUUGGAGACUGUGAAACAUGUUUGGAUAGUGUGCAUCUGAAUUUUUAUAUAAUAGUUUAAAAACAAAUAAUUUAACUAUACAGGGGAAUUGGAUCUUGAAGUUUGUGAGGCAAUGUUCAGGAUAGAAUAGAUUUUUUGUGAGAGAUUCAAAGAUUUGGUGCUAUAAAAGAAUUCACAAUGAUGUUGCAGUAAGUAGAGGUACUGCUCAGAGUUCAUGCAAGCAUGGAGGGGAAGAUAGAACUUCCAAAUAAUCUCAUUAUUUAAUUUUCUACAAUGGGACUGGAGUAAAAUAUAAAAUUUAAUAGGUAAACAUUAAUUUGGAGAUGGGAUGUAAUGGGUUCUAAUAAAAAAUAAUCAGAAAAAGCUGACAGCAUUAAAAUAGUCUAUGCUAGUAUCAAAAGAGUAAUAUCUAGAAGUAUUUAUAAGGAAAUUGGAGAUUAUUUUGAAAGGUGAUGCUAUACAAUAUCAAUAUUCUUUGUUUUAUAAAUUGUUCCAGGCCCUUACAUUGACUAUUUACAAAUUUUUGAGAGCAAACAGCAUUCCAUUGGCAUUUAUCCAGGAAAUGGGACUGAAUAUCUCCAUAUGCUUAGUUUUUAUGUCAUCUUUACCAAUAGGAAAAUAUUUCUCAGAUUAUGGGAUUCCCAUUGGACCAGGGAUAGAAUUAUGAUUCAAGUUUGUCAAUCAAAAUGAGUUCAGACGUGUGGAGCGACUUUUGUGAAGAUUUUCCUUUAAUAUAUUCCAGAGCUGGAAUUCAAACCCUGCUGGAGAUCCUUGUCCUUUACUAUGUUGUUCCUAAAUUUCUUCAACUUUUUCGAUAUCUUCAUAUGAGAACUGGGACAAUAGACUUUUUCCACCUCAGCUGAAAACACACAUGAUGGCUGACUUAAAUGUUCUCAUGUUCUACACAUGUCUUCAACUGGCUACAGUAGAACUGCCAGUAUUGAUUUUGAGGUUGUAAGUAAAUUUUAGUCAGAUAAUAAAUUUAUAGAAAAUGGAAUCCACAAAUAAUGAGGAUUGGUAAUAUAUGUGGUCUGUAAACCCAACUCAAUAAAAUGUGCUUUGAAAUACACAAAAAUAAUUUUAAAAUAUUAGUUAUGAUUAUGGAUAAAUAAAAAUAUAUGAUUAUGGAUAAAUUUGUUAACUACCUUUCAUUUUCUAAAAUGAAUAUAUGCUAAUUGUAAAAUCAUGUUUUAAUAGAAUAGCUAGCUAUUUCUGUGUUCUUGCCUAUAGGGAAAAACUGCAACAUCA